UGUCUUGGGCUGCACACGUGCUACAACGGCAGGUACAAUGAGCUGCGAAGCCGUGAGGCGGAGCGAAUCUCAAAAAGCCUGUCUCAGUUCGGAUUGGGGUCUGCAACUCGACCCCAUGAAGUCGGAGUUGCUAGUAAUCGCAGAUCAGCAUUGCUGCGGUGAAUACGUUCCCGGGCCUUGUACACACCGCCCGUCACGUCACGAAAGUCGGUAACACCCGAAGCCGGUGGCCCAACCCCUUGCGGGAGGGAGCUGUCGAAGGUGGGACUGGCGAUUGGGACGAAGUCGUAACAAGGUAGCCGUACCGGAAGGUGCGGCUGGAUCACCUCCUUUCUAAGGAGCACUUCUUACCGAUCCCUUCGGGGUGAGGUCAGAGGCCAGUACAUCGGCGAAUGUCUGAUGCUGGUUGCUCAUGGGUGGAACGUUGAUUAUUCGGCAUCUUCAGUCAUCUCAGGCUGUGAGUACUGCUCUUCGGGGCGUGGAAAGCUGAUCAUGAGUGGCGAGGGUGCCGGGCACGCUGUUGGGUGUCUGAGGGUACGGCCGAUUAUCGGCUGCCUUCAGUGCCGGCCCCAGUGAACUCCGGUUGUAGCCGGGGGUGAUGGGUGGUUGGUCGUUGUUUGAGAACUGCACAGUGGACGCGAGCAUCUUGUGGCCAAGUUUUUUAAGGGCGC
rnacentral:sRNA from 1 species